rnacentral:rRNA from 1 species
GGGAGGUAAAUUUCUCCUAAGGCUAAAUAUUGGCGAGAGACCGAUAGCGAACAAGUACCGUGAGGGAAAGAUGAAAAGAACUUUGAAAAGAGAGUUAAACAGUACGUGAAAUUGUUGAAAGGGAAACGAUUGAAGUCAGUCAUACCAACGGGAAAUCAACCUUUUGAGCUUGGUCUCGUGGGUUUUGAAGAGUUUCAAAGCCUUCGGAUUCGCUAGAUUGGGAUCUCUUGGUGUACUUUUUCGUACGGUUAGUCAACAUCGGUUUUGAAUGUCAUAAAAUGACUGGAGGAAUGUAGCUUCGAU